AUCGCUCAAAGAUGGGUCUGCGUCUGAUUAGCUAGUUGGUGGGGCAACGGCCUACCAAGGCGACGAUCAGUAGCCGGUCUGAGAGGAUGAACGGCCACAUUGGAACUGAGACACGGUCCAGACUCCUACGGGAGGCAGCAGUGGGGAAUCUUCCGCAAUGGGCGAAAGCCUGACGGAGCAACGCCGCGUGAGUGAAGAAGGCCUUCGGGUCGUAAAGCUCUGUUGUCGGGGACGAAUGUGCGGAUUAUCAACAACGAUCUGCAAUGACGGUACCUGACGAGGAAGCCACGGCUAACUACGUG
rnacentral:rRNA from 1 species